UGUUUUUUCGAUAUAAAACACCGAAUAUUACGAUCUUCUGGCUCAGUUUAACAUCCGUUCGAAGACAUCUUUUUACUUAAAAACCAAAAAUGAAAUUCUUACUGUUCGUUUGUGUUGCGGUAUUGUGCUUGGAAACUGUACUCGGGUUUUUUGUUUUACCGCCGGGAACGGCUGUAUCACCGACCGAUUUUAUCCAAGCUCUGGCAGCAGCUGAAGCAGCUAAGGCUGCACUUAAAUUUGGACCAUUCACUCCUUUUACUGCCGGUAAAUAGAUUUUGAAGACGGUCAAAGUUCUAACAACUUCAAUUUCAAUAAAUUUCAUUUCUGUUGAACCGUA